rnacentral:rRNA from 1 species
UGCGUAGGCGGGCUAAUAAGUCAGUGGUGAAAUCUUCCGGCUCAACCGGGAACCUGCCAUUGAUACUGUUAGUCUUGAGUUCGGAUGAGGUAGGCGGAAUGUGUAAUGUAGCGGUGAAAUGCUUAGAUAUUACACAGAACACCAAUUGCGUAGGCAGCUUACUAGACCGACACUGACGCUGAGGCACGAAAGCGUGGGGAGCGAACAGGAUUAGAUACCCUGGUAGUCC